rnacentral:hammerhead_ribozyme from 1 species
AUCCAGAUGACUAGUCCCAAAUAGGACGAAAUGCGCGUUACCCUGGAU